AACGUAGGAGACAAACGUUAUCCGGAGUUACUGGGCGUAAAGGGCGUGUAGGUGGUCCUGUAAGUUCGGCGUGAAAUUUCUCGGCUUAACCGGGAGUGGUCGUCGGAUACUGCACGACUAGAGGACGGUAGAGGCGUGUGGAAUUCCGGGUGUAGUGGUGAAAUGCGUAGAGAUCCGGAGGAACACCAGUGGCGAAGGCGACACGCUGGGCCGUACCUGACACUGAGGCGCGAUAGCAUGGGGAGCAAACAGG
rnacentral:rRNA from 1 species